AGGCGGUUCCUGGAAAUAGCCCUCCAUCAGAUCGUACCCUAAACCGACACAGGUGGACUGGUAGAGCAUACCAAGGCGCUUGAGAGAACUAUGUUGAAGGAACUCGGCAAUUUACCUCCGUAACUUCGGGAUAAGGAGGCCAUCCGCUUGGGCAACCAGGUGGGUGGGGCACAGACCAGGGGGUGGCGACUGUUUAGCAAAAACACAGGGCUCUGCUAAGUCGGCUUCAAGACGACGUAUAGGGUCUGACGCCUGCCCGGUGCCGGAAGGUUAAAAGGAGGGGUGCAAGCUCCGAAUUGAAGCCCCGGUAAACGGCGGCCGUAACUAUGACGGUCCUAAGGUAGCGAAGUUCCUUGUCGGGUAAGUUCCGACCCGCACGAAAGGCGUAAUGAUUUGGAUACUGUCUCGGAGAGGGACUCGGUGAAAUAGACUUGUCUGUGAAGAUGCGGACUACCUGCACCAGGACAGAAAGACCCUAUGAAGCUUUACUGUAUCUUGGAAUUGGGUUUGGGCCUUGCUUGCGCAGGAUAGGUGGGAGGCUUUGAAGAUAUUCUUGCGGGAAUAUUGGAGCCAAUGGUGAGAUACCACUCUAGCAUGGCUAAAAUUCUAACUUUGAACCGUUAUCCGGUCGAAGAACAGUUUCAGGUGGGCAGUUUGACUGGGGCGGUCGCCUCCUAAAAGGUAACGGAGGCGUGCAAAGGUUCCCUCAGGCUGGUCGGACAUCAGUCGUAGAGUGUAAAGGCAUAAGGGAGCUUGACUGCGAGACCUACAAGUC
rnacentral:rRNA from 14 species